rnacentral:rRNA from 1 species
UACAGAGGUCUCAAGCGUUGUUCGGAUUCAUUGGGCGUAAAGGGCGCGUAGGCUGCGGGGCAAGUCGGGUGUGAAAUCUCAGAGCUUAACUCUGAAACUGCACUCGAUACUGCUUUGCUCGAGGACUGGAGAGGAGAUUGGAAUUCACGGUGUAGCAGUGAAAUGCGUAGAUAUCGUGAGGAAGACCAGUGGCGAAGGCGGAUCUCUGGACAGUUCCUGACGCUGAGGCGCGAAGGCCAGGGGAGCAAACGGG